AAAUGAAUUGACGGGGACCCGCACAAGCAGCGGAGCGUGUUGUUUAAUUCGAAGAUACUCGAAGAACCUUACCAAGACUUGACAUCGCCCGACCGGGGUAGAAAUAUCUCUUUCGUAGCAAUACGACGGGUAGACAGGUGGUGCAUGGUUGUCGUCAGCUCGUGUCGUGAGAUGUUGGGUUAAGUCCCGCAACGAGCGCAACCCUUACGGUUAGUUGCCAAUAUUAAGUUAGGAACUCUGACCGGACUGCCGUGGAUAUAACACGGAGGAAGGCGGGGAUGACGUCAAAUCAUCAUGCCCCUUACGUCUUGGGCUACAAACGCGCUACAAUGGCCGUUACAAAGAGCAGCGAAGUUGUGAAACGGAGCGAAUCUCAAAAAAGCGGUCUCAGUUCAGAUUGUGGGCUGCAACCCGCCCACAUGAAGUUGGAGUUGCUAGUAAUCACGAAUCAGCAUGUCGUGGUGAAUGCGUUCCCGGGUCUUGUACACACCGCCCGU
rnacentral:rRNA from 1 species